rnacentral:tRNA from 1 species
CCUUUGGUGGUUGAAUGGUAGAAUACUCGUCUGCCACGCGGGCGGCCCGGUUCGAUUCCCGGCCGACGCA